rnacentral:tRNA from 1 species
UGUAGCUCACUGGCAGAGCUCUUGCCUAGCAUGCAUGAGGCACUGGGUUCGAUCCUCAGCA